GUUAUAUGGAGUCACUUUGUGAAAAGUGACUUUUCUUGCACUUUUCUGUAUAUGGUAUUCAAUAUUUACCAAAAAAAAAAAAAAUAGGACUUUUUCAGAAAGGUGUCCUCUUUAACACACCUGCCAGCGAGCUUAUUACCACGGCCGCCCUCCUCCCAGCUCCCUUCUACGCGAAGGCACAUCGUUUGCCCAGCGAGGAGCUCAGGAUCCGCUGGCCUCAGACCCGCCCGCACGGCCCACCCCCCGCCGGCUGAGCCGGGAGCCGCCUGUCCCUCUACUGCCUCCCCGAGCCUGCGGUGAGGGGUUCGGGGUCUCCCCCCACACCCCAUCUUGCUCUCCUCCGUCGCCUGGCACACGUUGCCCUGUCCAGGAGCACCGAGGGCUCUGGAGGCCCUUCUUGGUCGUUCUGUGACCCAUCUCGGCACAGCUCCUGGCGUGCCCGGGGCACCUCCUCUGUCGCAGUGUGGGCCACACAGCAUGCGCUCGGAAGAGCCCCGCCCCGCCCGCCGUCGGGGAGACACUGGUCCUCACUCACCUCUCGGGUUCUGCUCGAGUUCGCAGCACGCGUCCUGCCCCCACUUCGCUCAGGCUUCACAGAGCACGACUCCCAGGUGCUGGUCCCUCUGCUGGGCUGCACCCGUGGCCACGGCCUGUCGCGUGUUCUGUGUCCCCUCUUGGCAGCCGGCAUGCUUCCCUCCCCACGAGUGGCCAGGCUGCCAGGGGGCAGCGGGGCCGGGGAGGCCUGGGGACUGGAUGGCGAGACAGCCCACAGGUGGGAACAGGCAUGGGACAUGCCUGGUGACUUCUCCCGAAAAACCCCAAACCCCAGUCCACCUGGAGGUGGCCCUUGCUGGCUGUCACGGUGUCCGCAUCGCGCCCCCUCCCCGCCACCCCGGAGUUCUGCCUGGGUGUCUACUGCGUGCCCGUGUGCCUUGAAGAUGACGUGGUCCCAGCCUACAGGUCAGCUCAGACCCGCAGCCACAGGGAGACGCACAGAGAUGAUGGGACCCGCGGCCCGGCCAAGGCUCUGCUGAGAAGCCUCGCGGGGAGUCCUCCACGCCCCUGGGGACCGAGCCAUCCUGCAGACAGCAGGGCCUGAGGGACGGGCCCUAGGGCUUCCUUGGUGCCUGCCCUCCUGCACGGCUGCUUCCUCGGACAGAACGUCCCUUCCUCUCCACCGCCAGCUGGAGAGCAGCUUCGCGUGGCCCGCGGUGUGAGCAGCCCAGAGUGACACUGCUUUACGUGUUAACAACUAACUCAGUCCUCAGCUGCAGGCUGGACUCUCCCAGUUCACAACCUCUGACCCAGUUCAACCCCUUUAUUAUUAUUUUUUUUAAUUUAUUUUUGGCUGCAUUGGGUCUUAAUUGCUGCACACAGGCUUUCUCUAGUUGUGGAGAGCGGAGGCUACUCUUCGUUGCGGUGUGCGGGCUUCUCAUUGCAGUGGCUUCUCUUGUUGCGGAGCACGGGCUCUAGGUGCGCGGGCUUCAGCAGUGGCGGCACGCGGGCUCUAGAGUGCAGGCUCAGUAGUUGUGGCACACGGGCUUAGUUGCUCCGCGGCAUGUGGGAUCUUCCCAGACCAGGGCUCGAACCCGUGUCCCCUGCAUUGGCAAGUGGAUUCUUAACCACUGCACCAUCAGGGAAGCCCAACCCGUUUAUUCUUAAAUGGGGAACUGAAGCCCAGACGGGGAAAGCCAACUGCUCUGGUCAUGGAGCUCUUUUCUGAAACCAACGUGCCCACUCGGUGAGGCGGGGGGUAGGGGUGGGGGGUGGAGGCAGCACCCACUCAGCGCAGCUCCUACAGGUCGCCAGACGGGCUUUGAAAUCAAAGCGUGUGGGUUUGAGGGCUUGGUUUCUCAAUAGCUAUUUAAAGCCCAGUUAUCGGAUUACUUAAAAGCUACUGCCACUAAGGCAGAGAGCACAUGACCGACCCCCAGCCCCUCGGUACUGAAAAGACGGCAUCUCAUCUCUUGAGAUGGGACGUCCCAGGGCAGCUGGGUCCACCUCACUGGGUUCAGGAACAUUCUCUGGUGGGUGGCUCCCAGGUAUACCCUAGGUAUCCUGGUGUUUAAACAAAACUCGACGUGUAACUGACAGUAUUCUGAUGGUUGUGUGUGUGUAAAAACUACAUAUAAAAGUGUUAGGGGGGCCUCCCUGGUGGCGCAGUGAUUGAGAGUCCGCCUGCCAAUGCAGGGGACACGGGUUCGUGCCCUGGUCCGGGAAGAUCCCAUGUGCCGCGGAGCGGCUAGGCCCGUGAGCUAUGGCCGCUGAGCCUGCGCGUCCGGAGCCCGUGCUCCACAAGGGAGAGGCCACAACAGUGAGAGGCCCGCGUACCACAACAACAAUAAAAAAAAGUGUUAGGCUGCUUUACCAGCUCCCACGGACCCCAGAGUCUGGCUGAGACAGAACAUACUUUUCUCCAGUGUUAUCAGCUGGUGUAAACAGUUUAGGAAAGAUAAAUGACCAGCCCAGUUGGGCGUAAGAACCUCUGAGAUACGAAAUUCCAGGGCUGUGUCUCCAGCCCCCAGGGAGGUCCUGGAAGGGCCUCAUCGUGGUACCUGCUUCUCGACCAUCAGCCUCUGGAUCAGGUUUCUAAAUGAAAUCUCGUUCUCUCUUGUGUGAUCUGUACCUGGCCGAUUGAUACAGCAGCCGCUCACUGUAUGACUAGAUGAAAAUACAAAUUUAAAAUUAAAAACUCAGCUCCUUACAGUUGCACUCUCCACUUUUCAAGUGCUCAGCAGCCCGUGUCCAGUGGCCACUCUGCUGGGCCGCCCAGUUCCGGAACAUUUCUGCCUGAUCCAUAAUCUCUCCGGGUUUGUUUACCGACGCACAGAUGAUUGGAUCCUGUGUCUGCUGCCUUUGCAAGAGGCCACGACGACUAGGUGGCCUAUUAAAAACAGGCCUUUUCACCUGCUCCCCAGGGGCUCUCUUUGGGGCAGAGCUGGUCCUUCUGUCCGCUCUGCUGUGCUCUUGGACUCCCACUCUGACUUGGUAGCGAUGAAACGCGGUAGCUUGUCUAACGGACAGGUUGUAGGCAGCGGAGGCAUCUGAGGGUGUACACCGCUGACAGUUGCAGCUUUUUCUUUGGCACUUUGCAGAGGAUACUGAAAUAUUACUUCAAAAGAUGAAGCGAUAGAAAUGGAAUACGAAUCAGUCAUUAUACCUCAUGAUGCGUCUGUGAACGCCCGGUACUUACUUUUGGGUUAUUACCGUCUUCAGCCCAAGGUUAGAUGCACGUUUACAGACGUGGAAAACUGAACAUCCAGAAGAGUCAGGGUGACUGGGUGAGAGGCUCUGAAAUGACGGAUGGCAGCGCCUCGUUCAGGAAGUGCACGAACCUUGUGGCCUUUGAUGAUUUUUAAAAGCCAAUUAACAUUUUCUUGUGGCCUUUAUUAAUUAGCAUUUUCCAUUAUUCUCCAGAUCAGAACAUAGUAACCUAUUGGUACGUCUUAAACAGCACACAGGUGACGGUGGUACUUGUCUCAUCAAUGGAGUUCUGAUGGAGGGACACCUACAUGCUGCUGAUCCGUGAGGAUGAGAGGGGCGCAGAGGUGCUAUUCAUGGGCUCACAGGGUUCCUGCCACAGGCCUGCAGCUCAUGACAGCCCAGGCAGCAGUGCUGGGGCUUGUUAGAAGCAUAAAUGCUUCUAAGGAGACCCUGACCAAACUUGGACUUUGCUGUUUAGCCAAAACCUGUAGCUUCGACUGCCCGCCGGAUUUAAAAGGAAACCUAAUUUCAGCAUAUGUUUAAUGUACCCAGCAAAUGGCAACAUUUGAGCAGUGGACGGGACUCCUACCGUCCCCUCCCUGGAUGAACGAAUGCCGCCCGGAAGGAUGGGAAAGGACGCAGUACAGCCCAGGCGGCCCGGCUCGGGGAGCGUCACCCCUGGCCUGCCCAUCCUGCCGCUUCUCCGCCGUUGCCCCAACCGCGCCCAGCCACGCAGACCCCACGACACCGUCUGAAGGCUUUGGGUUUCAUCAGAGCUCUUCCUUCAGGACUCGGCUCAAAUGCUUGCCUCCAAGAAGCCACUUCUGAUGCUUCCCAGGAGCCUGAGCCAGGGCCUUCCCCGCCUCCUGUCACCCUGCACCUUUUCCACAGCCCCAAUAAACAGCGCUCACUGGACUCA